CGUGUCAAUGCAGUUAGUAUCAAGUGAUUCAGUUUUUUGCCAUCUAAAAGAACAAAUCUCGAUCGGACCUUCCUCCGGUGGUGUUUUAAAGCUGCAGAGCUGCAGUUGGAACAGUUUGACCUGAACCAGGCACAGUUUGACAUCCUCAGCCGCUCCGCCUCCUAAAUGUUCCUCCGCACACGGCGUCGCAGACUAUUUAAGCUCCGCGUUCGGAAUAAUUAAUGCAGGAAAUGAUCACGGACUCUGGAAUGAUUAAUUUGGAGCUCUGACACACCGACGUGACUGAUCGUCUUUUAGCAGGUCGCCGGGCUUUUAACGCUCACGGCCGUUCAGGGAGCAUCCAUCACGGUGACCCUCACUGCUGCACGCCGAGCUGGGUUUGGGAGCGAUGUGCAGCAGAGUGGACCGACGGCAGACCUCCACACCGUCCAUCGAUGCAGCAGACGCACCGUUACACUCACAUUUCAUCAGAUUUAGCUCCUUUUUACCUCAACAGAUGCCGUCUGCCCUGUGCGGUCGCCGCGGUUACCCAGGGGCCCUGCUCGGCUGGAGGUUGUUGCCAUGGAGACGUGGGGGUCACCCGGAUCCCGGCUCAUCAUUGUUCAGGUGUGUGCAGAUGUCGGCCGUCUGUCGGAACCAGCUGCUCCUGAUGCCUCUUUUGUGGGGUCGGUCGGCCUUCUGUCGCAGCCUGGAGGUGCUUCAGGACUCAAACAUGCACAGAAAAAACAUCCAGACUGUACACAAAUACAUGAGAGGUCUGAGAAGCUGCUGAAAAAAUUAGAUUUAGCUCAUUUUACAGACAGAAAUGCUGCUUUUUGGCCAGUUACAAAACUUGUUUAUCGCAUUUUUACAAAAAAAAAUCUCAUGUCCAAACAUCUUCCACUUCUUCCUCAGUGAUCAAUAUUUUCUCCACAUCAGUAGUUCUAGUGUCUAACAGCGUUCCUGCGGGUCUCCACUGGGAUUUAGCUCCUCUGUCCAUCUCCUGCUCGCUGAGGCCCAAAAUUAUUCAUCCCCCAUUUCACAUUUUAAUUUAUAAUCGAUUUUUGUUCAAUCACCGAGUUUCUUCUGGUUAAAACUUGUAUAAACAAGUGACAAAAGACAAUAAACAACAUGUGUUGUUUUAGUUUUAAGUUUAAAAAACGCGUAUAAAUACAAAAAAAUGAUCACUUUAUUCACUUUUAAUGUCAUUUCUAGCCAGAAUUAACCUGUCUGUGACGUAAAAACUCACCGUAAAUCUAAACUUGGCACAGAUAAUCUAAAUUUUUAAAACAAAAUUUAAAAUUUUUGCCGUAUUUUACAAUAAUGCGCUGUAGAACAUCAGCAGGAGCAUUAAGAAUGACAUAAAAAUUGCGUUUUCUCAGAAGUUUAACAGUUGUCAGGUGUCUAAAUAAUUUUGGACGUGCCGUUUUAAUGUAAAAAUACUAAAAUUAAUCUCUAAAACGAUGCCUGGCUGAGUUUUGUUGCUUGUUUGUGUCGUUUCCAGACAGAAAAGAAACUUUUAGUCGAAUAAAAAUUCAGUGUAAAUCUAUAUUUGACACGACUGUGAAGAACUCGGAGCAGGAAGCCGUCACCAGAAAGGCUCUUUCAGGUGGAGGACAGAUAUCGGUUGGUUUGGUGUCUGACGGCUUUUUGGUUUUCAUGUUUGGACAUGAACACAGAGUUCAUUUCCACAGCUCAGACAACCUUUUCUGUAUCGCCGUCUGUCACCAGCACCUCGUUUCAUCUCCAGCGGUGUAAUUACUGCAAAGAAAAACACAUCAAAACACUCGCUGACCUUCCGACAGCCACAGGUCUGCUGGUCUGAGCUGCUCCUGUUGAAGAUAUCUGCUUUUAGUUCAACAGGAAGCAGAGCCAGACUGUUUGGAAACUUCAAAUUCACUUUCAUUUUUGCCCAAUACAGAUGAAUUUUGAUCUAGAUGGAAGCUUUACUUGAGCUACAAGUUCUUUUUUGGCUGGAAAUGACACACACAAGUGAUAAAAACACAGUAAAGCACUGUGUUAGAGACGCUAAUGUUGAAUUUUAAGUAUUUCUAUGUGGCUGUUUUCCUCUGUUUUACUAAAAUGUGCGUUAAAGGAGUGUCUUUCAGUUAAAAACAUGCAUUUCUGCAGUUUAACAGACGUAUGAAUAUCUCAUGAUCACAUUAGAUCAGUUAAAUUGAUGUUUUUGCUGCUUUAGACGCCUGAAUUUCAGAUCAAAACGUCACCAUAAGAGGAAAGUAGAGUCUAGAUUUUCACUACUUUGCAAAUUUAAGCCCCAAAAUUAUUCAUCCUCAUGUUAAAUUUAGAUUUCUCUUGGAUUUUUAUUUGACCAGCAGGUUGGAAAUGACACAAACAAGUGAUUAAAACUCGGUAAAACGCUGCAUUAGAGAUGCUAAUUUAGAAUUUUAACUUGUUUUUAUGUCGCUUUUUUUCUUCAGUUUCACUAAAAUACCAUGUCCAAAAAUACCAUGUCCCUUGAAAUUGUCACAAAUGUGCAUUGAAAGGUAAAAACACACAUUCAAAUGACCUGUUUCAUGUUGAUUUAAUGUGUAGUUUUAAUGUGAUAUAAACAGCAAACUCAGUAUUGUCCUAAAGUGGCUUUUAAAAGUUAGUUAAUAUUGGAAAGUAGAGUCUGAAUUUACACACUGUUGCACAUAAAAGCCCCAAAAUUAUUCCUCCUUAUGUCAAAUUUUGAUUUAAAGUGAAUUUUUAUUUGACCAACAGAUUGGAAAUGGCAUAAACAAGUGACAAAACGCAGUAUAACAUUGUGUUUUUGAUUAUAUUUUGUCCAGAAUUAUCGGAUUCUUGAGAAAAUGCAGCUUCUGUUCAGUUCAAAAUGUUCCAGAGCUGUGUAGUCGUGACUAUGAUGCAGGAAAAAAAAAGAUAAAUUCUGUGAAAAUCUCCAAAACUUGUUGAGAACUGGAGAGCAAAAGAAAGUUUUUCAACAACGUAUUGAAGUGUAUCAUCGGCGUACGUGGGAAAAAAAUCAAGUGCCAGCGAGAGAAAUGUCUAAAAAUCUUGAUACUCCUUGAAAUUGUUGCCAGUUUUUGGACAAAUGCAGCUUCUUCUCAUCAUUCAAGGGAAUUUCUGUCGUGUUCUAGAGCGAGAACAUUUGAUGCAGUUACAGAAAUUUAGCCUAGGAAUAAUUUGAGACUGAGGCUACGUUUUUACGAGGACCAUCUUAACAGAAAACGCAAAAGUGUCUUCACUUUUUAUUUCACGUGUAGACGAGUGGUUUUGAAGGAAAUCUGCGUAUAUACGGUGACUCUAUAGUGUGUGGAAUUUGAUUGGAUAUGCAUGCCAGGCAGCUAGGUGGCGCUGUGAUAAAACUCUAUGCGCAUGCGUACUAUCUCCCUUUUCGGAUCUCCGCCGCGGUAAAUGUCAGAUGGCGACUAGUAAGAAGAACUUUGUUUGGACAGACGAAGCGGUCGAACUACUGCUUCGAACCACUUUGGACUACAAAGCCACAAAAACCCAAAACGGAAUCUUUACUUCCUCGUACCGGCCGGCAGACCAAAGCACCGACGCACGUAUGUGACGUAAUCGUGUACGCGACGUGGUCAGGUCUCGGCAAAGUUUUUUUUUUCUGGCAAAGUUUUGCGUUUUGCUGUUUAGAUGGAAACGUAACGGCAGGGUUUUCAACUUUUCCACUCUGGAGGCCGGUUUCAAAUUUUUGCGUUUUUAAGCCCCCAAAACGCCGUCCUGGUAUAAACGAUAGGGUGUUUUGUUGAAAUAUUUUGAUGUUUUUACCUGCAAGCGUCCUCGUGUAAACAGGGCCUCAAUCAAUAUGAACAUAUUCUGUUCAUCCAAGACGACACUAUCGUUCAAAAUGUUUAUUAUAACACUGGAUUAAAUAAAUAAGAAGGGAGCACACCAGAAUCAUGUUCACUACGAUUUUAUUUGGAAUUAGUGUCCAUUCUACAAGCAAGACACGAGAAGAAAGAACAACGUAACCAUAGCAACAAGAAAGUUUUUGAAUCGCUCCACGUCCCUGAUUUGUCUUUAUUCAGCGUUCAACUCGAUCACACAGAGA